AUGGACGGCCACAUCAUCAAGGUGAUGAAAAACGCUCAUCCGAUUCUAAGGCUUGUGUGCAGCAGCCCUGGCAACCUGAUGUGCGUCGUCGGCUAUUCGAUGGGGAUAGCCACAUUGCUCAACCUCGCAACCGGAGAGGAGACUGUGAUUCACCUCAAAUUUGGCUUCAUGGGCUUCGGCCGCGCCGUCCCGUCGGGCGCCUACAAGAUGGUGAGCAUAAAUCCCAGCAGCUGUGAGAUCCUCACGGUGGGAGACGGCGUGGGGUGGAGGCAAGCGCAGCCCCUGCCUAGCAGCAGCAUCUCGUAUAACAGCCGCCCGGUCGUGGUCAGGGGUGUGCUCUACUUGAUUUUAGUUCCACAGCUCAACGGUGACAGCGUGAUCUGCUUCGAUCUUGAGAGCGAGGAGUGGAAGGGGGGAUCAGAGGCCCGCCGAGUAGCCAACGUCAGCGGUGUGACGCUAGCUUGCAGGAACUCAACGGGGCCCUGUGUAUGCUCCUGCCGGAGGUCGGAACCAUGGGCAUAUGGCUCCUAA
rnacentral:rRNA from 1 species